UACGUAGGAGGCGAGCGUUGUCCGGAGUUACUGGGCGUAAAGGGUGCGCAGGCGGCGGUUUCGCGUGGAUAGAUGAAAUCUCCUGGCUUACCUGGGAGGAUGGUAUCCAGACGGGGAUCGCUUAGGGUCGGAGAGGGGCGUGGAAUUCCGGGUGGAGCGGUGAAAUGCGUAGAGAUCCGGAGGAACACCGACGGCGUAGGCAGCGCCCUGGACG
rnacentral:rRNA from 1 species